rnacentral:rRNA from 1 species
AAUUUUAUAAAAUUAAAAAAAGCAAUAAAGUUAUAAUAUUAAUUUAAAUUAGUAAAAUAUUAUUGAAUUAAAAUUAAUUUUAGUAAAUAAAUAGAAAAAAAAAUAUUUUUAUAAAGAAUUAGUAAUGUGAAUGAAAUUAGAAAAUUUUUAAAUAUUUAAAAAUUUAAAAGAAAAAUUAAUUUUUUUUAUCUUGUGUAUCAGAGUUUAAAAAUUAAUGAUUAUUAUAAAAUAUGUUUCUUGAAAAAAAUAAAGAGAUAAAAAUUUUAAGUUUUUAAAUGUAAAAAAAUUUUUAAUUAAAAAUUUUUUGUAAUGAAAAGUUAUUCGAUUUUUUUUAUAUCUAGUUUUUAAAGAAAAAAAUUAAAUUUUAUAGAUAAUUUAUAAUUAAAAAGAGUUAAUUAAAGGAAAAAUGUUUAUAAUUAAAAAUAAAUAUUUAUAGGGAUAAUCUUAUAAAUAAAAUUUUAUAUAUAAGUAAAUUAAAAUUAAUAAAAUUAUAAAAUUAAAAUUUUUUAUUAAAUUUAAAAUUUUUAAUAAAUUAUUUAUUAAAAAAAGUGUAUUAUUUUAAAAUUUAUAUUAAUUAUAUAUUUAAAAAUUGUUAUUUAUAUUAAAUAAUUAGAUAAUAUGUUAGAAUUAGUAUAUAAUAUAGUUAAUUUUAAUUUUUUAAAAAAAAGAAUAAUUAAUUAAAUGAAUUAGGCAAAAAAAAUAAAUAAUAAUGAUUUAAAUUAAUUCACCUGUUUAACAAAAACAUGUCUUUUUGUGUUAAAUAAUAAGUCUAAUCUGCCCACUGAAAUUUAAUUUUAAAGGGCUGCAGAAAUUUAACUGUACUAAGGUAGCAUAAUAAAUUGUUUCUUAAUUAGAAACUAGAAUGAAUGAUUUAAUGAAAUUAAAACUUUUUAAAAUUAAUUAAAUAGAAUUUAUUUUUUUUAUAAAAAAAUAAAAAUGAAAAUUUUAGACGAGAAGACCCUUUAGAUUUUUAUUUAAAAUAGAAUAAUAAAUAAUUUAUAUAAAUGUUAAAGAAAAUUAGAUUGUAUUUUAUUUUAAAUUUAAUUGGGGUGAUUAAUAAAUUUAAAGAACUUUAUUUAAGAAAAAAAAAUUUAAAUUGGAGAAUUUUUUUUAUAUAAAAUGAUUUAAUUGUUUGGAUUAAAAGAAUAAAUUACCUAAGGGAUAACAGCGUAAUUUUAAUUUAUAGUUCUUAUAUAAAUUAGAGAUUGCGACCUCGAUGUUGGAUUAAGAUAAGUUAUAAAUGAAGAUGUUUAUAAAAUUAGUCUGUUCGACUAUUAUAUUCUUACAUGAUCUGAGUUCAAACCGGUUUAAGCCAGGUUGGUUUCUAUCUAAAUUAGAAAAUUAUAAAAUUUUAGUACGUAAGGAUUUAAUUUUAAAAAUAAUAAAUUUUAAAUUUAUAUAUGAAUUCAAUUAAUAAAUUAAUUUAAGUUAAAGUUUGAA